CAGAGACUACUCCGUGCCUGGAUGAGUUUUGUGGACUGUGGAACACAAUAGUAACUGGCCCUAGGGGCAUGCAGAGGAACACUGGAUUACCAGAAGAGAAGAAUUGCAGCAGCCACCCCAACCUUGAGCAACCACCACCCUGAUUACUCAGCAGCCAUCAACAUUGAGACAAGACCUUCCACGAGUAAAAAAAAGACUACCACUCACUGAUAGCUCAAAUAUCAUUAGCAUUUUUAGCAAUAAAGUAUUUUUUAAUUGAGGUUUGUAGAGUUUC
rnacentral:lncRNA from 13 species